rnacentral:rRNA from 1 species
UAGGGAAGUCUUCCACAAUGGACGAAAGUACUGAUGGAGCAACGCCGCGUGAGUGAAGAAGGGUUUCGGCUCGUAAAACUCUGUUGUUAAAGAAGAACAUAUCUGAGAGUAACUGUUCAGGUAUUGACGGUAUUUAACCAGAAAGCCACGGCUAACUACGUGUCAG